rnacentral:rRNA from 1 species
ACGGCUCAGGACAACGGUUGCACCCCCCGCGGCGGUCCCUGCUAGCCGGACACCGCUGGCAACCCGGCGCCAAGACGUGCGCGCAAGGGCGGGCGCCCGCGGGCGAGCAGCGUGACGCAGCGACGGCCCGCCCGGGCUUCCGGGGCAUCACCCGGUCGGCGCGGUCGCGGCGCGCCGAGGGCCCGACGCCUGGGCGGAGAAUCAGGGUUCGACU